rnacentral:lncRNA from 1 species
AUGCUCUCAGUUACCUUGCUUGCCAUGCCCUUGGAAGUGAAGCUGCAACUCCAUUGUUGCACUUUUCUUUGCUUGUCACUGCCAUUGUUUGCUUUCUCCUUAAAGUAUCAGCUUGAUAAUGUUCCCUUGUUCUUUUUCAUAGUGUCUGAGCAGAAGGGUAGCCCAAAGAUCUUAUAUUUUUUAAAGGUUCCCUGGUGCCCAAAUGGGUUCAUCCAUGUCCAUGAGAGCUUGAACUGCUUCAUGCAAACCCUGGGGGUCCGUGCUGCUGUUCUCUGAUUCCCCAGGGCAGACACUCCAAGGACGGCUGUGAAAUGGAACUUAAAAGUAACGUUAAAAGUAACUCUGCCUUGUUACUUAACUCACUCUAGUUGUGUUUCAGGUAGACUUAUGGCAUGGGGAAAAUGUUGUUUGUUUGUUUUUUCAAAACUUUAUCAGAAUAAAAGCAAGAACUUAAAUGCUCUAAAUCUAUUC